UAUUGAUUGCUUAGCAAUCGAUGGUAUCCUAAAGAUUACUAUUUCUAUGAAAUCAACGCAUUGAGUCCUACCCCUGCUCUUCAACUUUCAGCAAGCGUGCCUUUGAAAGUGAAUCGCCUCCACAUCAUUACCAUUAGAGUGGUCACUCCUCUCAAACUUGUUGGAUCAUGUAGUGCUCAUGGUCGACUAAUGUAUUAAGAUAUACGUUCACAGAUUGGUUUUGUGCUGGUGCUUUAUCACAGGCGAUGUGCUUUUUGGGUCUUAAUUACAGGCAAUGUGAUUUCUGGGUCUUAACUAUAGGUGAUUAAGUUUCUGGGUCUUAACUACAGGUGAUUAAGUUUCUGGGCCUUGUCACCUAGUGAAGCGUGACCAUAGUAUUUUGAUAGGAGCAAUGAGUUUGAUAUCUAUAUCCAUUUAUGAUAUUGAAAUGGCUUGUGAGAAGCCGUAUUGCAUGCAAGCUUAAGUGUGAUUUUCAUGUACGGCAUAAUUAUUGUAAGUUGCAUAAUUCAUUACUCGAUCCCAUAGAAGUGGUGAUUGUCACUUACUGAGCCAGGAUUUUACUCAUCCCCUUAUAUUUCCAUUUAGGUUUCGAGAAUGGAGGAGGGUGACGAAUUUAUGAAGAACGCAUGAUGGGGCUGGUUUCUUCAUUUUGCUAUUUGAAUCAAUCUUAUUAGACUGAAUUUACAAAAUUCAUAAUAUGGUAAAUUCAUGGUAUUUUGGACCUUAUGGUUUUCCAUCUAAUGCAAGGUUUUGUCCGGUUAGGACCUUUCUUGUGAAAUGAUUCAUUUUGAUUAAGCCCUUCGUGCUUUUAUUCAUGAAAAAUGGCCG
rnacentral:lncRNA from 1 species